GUUGACUGAGGAAGUCUCUCCUCGGUCCGUGCUCUGGGCUGGGACCCUGCUUCCCACAGCUGUGAGAAGAGCGGGGUGAGGUCAGAAUCCGCGCUAUGAAUCUAAGGAUAAUUUUGUGCCAGCACAAAUGCGUUCUGAACCAAACCCAGGUCUUCUGCAAGAGCAGCUGCAGUGACCUAUGAGGAUGUGCACGUGAACUUCACCCAUGAAGAGUGGGCUUUGCUGGAUCCUUUCCAAAAGAGUCUCUACAAAGAUGUGAUGCUGGAGACCUACUGGAACCUCACUGCUAUAGGUUGAGCAGGUCCAUGAUUGUCAUAAGGACCAGGCAGACAAGAAGAGUCAUUGACAACACAGGAAUGUCCAUGUCUUCCCAGCUUACUCUGUUAAUUGGAAUAUUAGGGAUAUAAACCCAAUAAGGAUGAUUUGUCUCCAUUACCUGUACAGUUACUACAGACAGCAAGGAUACAAAUUGGAAGACCUGAAUAGUGAGGAACACUCUCCACGCUCUAGAAGAUAUGAAAGACAUAAUAUCUGUCACUCUGGGUAUAAACCUUGUGAACGUAAAGGAUAUGGAAAGAAGCAAUGUACCUUUGCAAGUAAAAGAUUUCUUCAAAUAUAUGAAAGCAUCCAUACUGAAGGGAAUCCGUAUGAAUGUAAACAAUGCAGUCAAAUCUUUGCAAAUUUAUAUCAUCUUCAAAAACAUGAAAAAAAACAUACCAGAGAAAAACUAUAUGAAUGUAAUCACUGUGGUAAAGCCUUUCCAAGUCGCAAUUCUCUUCAAAUACACAACAGAACUCAUACAGGAGAGAAACCCUAUGAUUGCAACCAAUGUGGUAAAGCAUUUACAUGUAGCAGUAAUCUUUUACUACACAAAAGAACUCAUACAGGAGAGAAACCCUAUGAUUGUAAUGACUGUGGUAAAGCAUUUGCAAGUAGCAGUAAUCUUCAAAUUCAUAAAAGAAAGCACACUGGAGAGAAACCCUAUGGAUGUAAUCAGUGUGGUAAAGCCUUUGCAUAUAGCAAUGCUCUUCAAAAACAUGAAAGAAGUCAUACUAGAGAGAAAAUCUAUGAGUGUAAUCAUUGUGGUAAAGCUUUUGCACGUCGUAGAAGUCUUCAAAAUCAUGAAGAACAUCAUACUCUUGAAAAACCAUAUGAAUGUAGUCAAUGUGGUAAAGCCUUUGCAUAUAGCAGUAAUCUUUAUAUACAUGAAAGAAGUCAUACUGGAGAAAAGCCAUUCAAAUGUCCUCAAUGUGGUAAAGCCUUUCCAAGUCACAGUUCUCUUCAAAUACAUGAAAGAACUCAUACAGGAGAAAAACCCUAUGACUGUAAUGAAUGUGGUAAAGCAUUCGCAUGUCGCAGUAAUCUUCUACUACACAAAAGAACUCAUACAGGAGAAAAACCCUAUCAUUGCAUUAAAUGUGAUAAAGCAUUUGCAUGUAGCAGUAGUCUUCAAAAACAUGAAAAAACUCACACUGGAGAGAAACCUUAUAAAUGUAAUCAGUGUGGUAAAGCCUUUGCACGUCGAAGCGAUCUGUAUAUACAUGUAAGAAUCCAUACUGGAGAGAAACCAUAUAAGUGUAGUCAAUGUGGAAAAGCAUUUGUACAUUGCAUUAGUCUUCAGAGGCAUGAACGAACUCACACUGGAGAGAAACCUUAUGAGUGUAAUCAAUGUGGUAAAGCCUUUACACGUCGCUUUAGUCUUCAAGUACAUGAAAGAAGUCAUAGUGGAGAGAAACCUUAUGAGUGUAAUCAGUGUGGUAAAGCCUUUGCAAGUCGUAGUAGUCUUCGAUAUCAUAGAAAACACCAUACUGUUAAGAAACCAAAUUAACCAGUGUGGUAAAGCCUGUUGGAAUCACCUUCAAACACAUGAAAGAAAUCAUACUGGAUAGAAACUAUGCGUAUAGUCAAUGUGGACAAGCCUUUAUAUAUCACAGUAGUCUUCUAAAUCACAAAACCAAUGUCAUAUGGAGAGAAACCCUACAAAUGUAAUUGAUGCAGUAAGCUUUGGCAUGUUUACAGAAUUGUCAGGGCUACUGGAAAAAUUGCGGAUGGAGGUUGCAGAACUUGGGAAACUACACGCAUUGGAAAAGGGAGAAUCAAAAGCCUCAGUACAGGUGACUACACAAGACAGCAGGAGUUUCUUACAAGAAUAAAGUGGGAAAGAAACUGCUCUGGAGGGUCCUCAGGUCAGAGAAAAGCUGAAAAGAAAGGAUGGCAGUCUGAUGAAACAGCUGAUUUGAGGAGAAAGUAUUAAUCUCAAAACAGUUGUGCCACCAGAGUGGGAGGCAGGGCAUCCUGGAGUUACAAAAUCACCAUCAUCUUUCCCAGUAGUCAUACAGCAUAUGCCUUCUAAUAGGAUGAUAAAAAGUUAUGACAAGGUAGGAUAGAGUCCUGUUGAUGUCCUCAUCUUAUGUCAAACAAAUUCUAAAUGACUAGUCUACUAAAAAUAGAAAUAUACCUUUGCACAUGCUGAAAGGAAGGACCUAUGAAUAUCAAGAAAUGAAAUAGUGUAAGCGAAAUGAAUAUAGUAAAAGACCAAUUGCUAGGCAAAGGGCAGUACUCUGAUAUAUAAGAACAAAAGCAAUUCAAUUCUGUUACUAUAGAACAAUGUUGCUUAGUGGCUUUAAGUCCUUUGGACAAAUGGUAUAAGAUAAUGAUUUAAGAAUGAUAUAAGACCCACCUCAUUCACUGAAUUUUGUUUUCAAAACAAAUAUUAGUCUCAGCUGUAAAGAAGGCCCUAUCAGAUCCUGAUGUAAGGCAGGUGUUGAUAGAGACCUUGGCAGAGGAAAAUGCAAAUACAGAAUGUAAAGAAGGUAUUACACCAUCAAAGACUUGGAAAGCACACAUGGAUGAGUGGAUAAAGGAUACAACCAAUAUUGGUUCUAACUUGUAUCAUGUUCAUAGCAUAGAUAAAACUAUAGCCAGAAGUCUCUAAUAUCAAAAUGCAUCAAUUGCAUGAAAUAAACUCAUUUGAAGAGAUGGGGACCAAGCCAUUAAAGAUCUCAGAUUACAAAAUGGCAGUGUGUUAAAUGCAAGAAAUAUAAUACUUGGCACUGAAAGAGUAAACAAGGUAUCUUUAAAGGUAAUGGUUUUUCUAAAUAUACACUAGAAAAACAGCCUAGUCAUUGAAGUAUGUACAGGGAAUGUGGCAGUUCUUUACAUUGGACCAGUGGAAGGUACUGCAGGCUGUGCUGCUCUAAACCUGGCCAUAGAUAAACAUCUUACUGUACCCACCAAAACUCAAUGUUAUAAAAUAUAUACUGGACUUCAUGGUCCUUUGCCUGCCAGGACAGUAGGAAUGAUCUUGGAAAUGUGCAGAUUGACUUCUCAAGGAUUCAUUGUUCUUCCAGAAAUUAAAGAUGAACCUUUCAAAAGAGAAAUUAAAAUUAUAGCCUAUGUGAAAACAGAUGGCAUUUAAUGCAGGUGGUAGGAAUUGCUGAGCUUCUACUGUUUCCCUACAUCAAAGCCAAAAUGGGCCAAGUACAAAAACAAAACAAAAAACAGAAGGGUUGAAGUACUAGAAAACAUGUUCUGGGAAAGUGUUAUUAAUGCCCAGAGGCCAAAAUUAAAAUUGCAAGUAAAUGGUAUUGAAAUAGUAAGAUUGGUGGAUACAGGAACUGAUAUAACUAUUAUUUAUGAAAGAUCCUGAAAUUCAGAAUGGCCACUUCCAAAGGUUUGUUCACAGUUUCUUGGAACUGGAAAGUUAUAUGAGACAAAGUGUACUAUGGGUCAAAUGUGUGAGACUGGAAUGUCAACACGGAAAGUUAAAGUCUUAUGUGGCUGAUAUACCCAUAUGUUUAUUGGAAAGGGAAUUCUUUUUACAACAGUGGCUCCGAUUAAUAUUCCCAAAAUCCCAUAAUGAAAUUAAGGCUGAACUGGUACAUGCUCCUGGGAAAGGUAUUGCUAUGCAUCAUCAUAAAUAAUUCAAGGCUGUGCCAAUUGUCCAAACAUAAGACAUCCCAGGGAUUCAGUUUCCAAAUUUACAAUGGAGGCCACCAAUGAGUUACCAUUGGACCUACCCUUAAAAUGGUUGAUUAAUAUGCCUGUAUGGAUAGAUUAGUGGCCCAUAACAAAGGAAAAAUUAUUGGCACUUGAGUAGCUGGUACAUGAGCAGCUCUAUGGGCAACAUACAGAAGUGUCUACUAGCCCAUUUAAUUUUUCUGUGGUUUUUAUAAAAAAGAAAUAAGGAAAAAGGAGAAUGUUAAUACAUUUAAGAUUGGUGGAUAGAAUAAUUCAACUAAUCUGCCCCUUAAAGCCUGGAAUUUCUUUACUUUUUUAUUCCCUAAGCCGAGGCUGAAGAUAGUACUUUAUUUAAAAGUUUGUUUUUUAAAAAUCCCCUUGCAUGAGCAGAAUAGGAAAAGGUUUACCUUCACAAUACCUACUUAUGAUAAUGAUCACUCAGUAAAAGGUGAUCAUUAUGGAAAGUUCCAUAAGAGAUAUUAAAUUGUCUAACUUUAUGUCAAUAUUUUGUCAAACAGCCGCAAGAAAUAAUUUGUAGGCAAUUUCCUCAAACCAUUGUUUAUCAUUACAUGGUUAUUUUGUUGUCAGAUUCUGAAGAAAUAUUUUAGAGAAAAAGUUAAAGGAAACAAACAAUUCUGCCAUGCUGGGAAUUAGAGAUUGCUCUUAAAGAAAAAAAAACAAAACAAACAAAACAACAACAACAACAAAAAAACUGCAGUGAGGAGAUUCUAUUAACUAUGUGGGUAUAAAAUAAGUCAACAGAAAAUUCAACCACAAAAGAUACAGAUUAGAAGAGAUCAACUGCAAACUCUUUGGUUUUCAAAUUCUAAUGAUAGAUAAUAAUUUGCUACCACCUAACAUUGAAUUAACUGCUCAGGAGUUGAGUAAUUUGUUUGUAACAUUACAAGGAGAUUUAGACUUAAACAGUCCAGGAUGGUUAACAGGUGAAGCAAAGUAAGAGUUAACUCUGGUAGAACAGAGAACUAAAAAAUGUGUAUGUGGCUCGCAUAGUUCCUAAAGUUGAUUGUAUUUUGGUUACUUUGCCUUCAACUCAUUUUCAUACUGGUCAUCAUGCAAAGGGAAGAUACGAUUAUUGAGUAGACUUUCUUACCACACAAAGUAAAAAGUUAAAGACUUAAAUAGAAAAAGUUUCUGAUAGAAGGUAAGCAAGACUAUACCAAUUGUCAGGGAUACACCCAGCAGAAAUUGUAGUACUUUAUACUAAUAUUAAGAUUAUGACUGUGACCAGAACUGACUGGGCCCCACAGCUCUCUGUACCCAGAUCCUGUGGGAGAGAAAGCUGGUCUCUUGGGGGCUGGGAGGAGGGUACAGACAAUCCUGAGAGUGCACAGGAGACCACCACUUCUGCUCAAAUUCCUAGCACAGGAGGAGCUUGCCUGGAGCCUUCUGGACCCAGGAACCUAGUAGCCAUGAGGGAUCCAUCUGGUUUCUGCCUGCACCCAAAGCUGAAAGCCAGUCUCCAGCAGUGCUGACACAUCAGAGAACAGAGGUAAGGCCACUACUUCCGACCCGCCUGGAGCCCUCAGAACACAGAACCCAGGAGCAGUCUGGGACAGGAUCCUUCCAGGUUUUGCCUGCACCCAGAGGUAACCUGGUCCCACAGCUUCCCCUGGGGGGAAGAGUGGGAAUCUCAGAGGUAUAGGCCAUCCUGGGAGCGCAGGGAAGAUCACAACUUCUGCUGGCAUUCCUGGUCCAUGAAGAACCUGUCUGGAAACCUCAGGAAACAGGAACCUAGGAGCAAUCUGGGGUAGGAUCCUUACGGUUACUGCCUGCGCCCGGCCCUGUGACACAGUUCUCUGGACUCAGGCCCUGCUGGCAGAAACCUGGUUUCCAGAAGUGUUGACACACAGGCUUACAGGAGGGUCAAGCCACUGUCAGAGACAGCAAGACCAGCCACACAAGAGGCAACAAGAUGGUGAGAGGCAAUCACAGGAACUUAAGCAAUAGAAACCAAGACUCCUUGGCAUUAUCACAACCUAGUUCUCCCACCAAAGCAAAUACUGGAUAUCCCAACACACCGGAAAAGUGAGAUUUAGAUUUAAAAUCACAUCUCAUAAUGAUGAUAGAGGAUUUUGAGAAGGACAUAAAUAACUCAAAGAAAUACAGGUAAACACAACAAAACAGGUGAAGGAAUUGAACCAUCCAAGACCUAAAAUUAGAAAUAGGAACAAUAUAGAAAUCAGAAAGGGAGACAAUCCUGGAGAUAGAAAACCUAGAAAAGAAAUCAGGAGUCAUAGAAGCAAGCAUCACCAACAGAAUACAAGAGAUAGAAGAAAGAAUUUCAGGGGCAGAAGAUAACAUAGAAAACAUUGAGAAAACUUUCCAUGAAAAUGUUAAAUGCUAAAAGCUCCUAACCCAAAACAUCCAGGAAUUCCAGGAUACAAUGAGAAUAUCAAAUCUAAGGAUAAUAAGUAGGGAAGAGUAUAAAAAUUCCCAACUUAAAAGGCCAGUAAAUAUCUUUAACAAAACUAUAGAAGAAAACUUACCUAACCUAAAAAAGAGAUGCCCAUAAACAUACUAGAAGCCUACCGAACUCAAAAUUGAAUGAACCUGAAAAGAAAUUCCUUCUGUCAUAUAAUAGUCAAAGCACCAAAUACACAAAACAAAGAAUAUUAAAAGCAGCAAGGGAAAGAGGUCAUGUAACAUAUGAAGGCGGAUGUAACAGAAUUACACCAGACUUUUCCCCAGAGACUAUGAAAGCCAGAAGAUCCUGGGCAGAUGUCAUACAGACCCUAAGAAAAUACACAUGCUAGCCCGGGCUACUAUAUCCAGCUAAAUUCUCAAUUAAUAUAGAUGGAAGAAAACUAAGAUAUUGCAUGAGAAAACCAAAUUUACAAAAUAUCUUUUCACAAAUCCAUCCCUACAGAGGAUAAUAGAUGGAGAACUCCAAGGAUCGACACUACAUCCUAGAAAAAGAAGAAAGUAAUCUUGCAACAAACCCAUAAAAAGAGAACCACAGAAACAUAAUUCCACUUCUAACAAAAAACACAACAGGAAAUUACAAUCACUAUUCCUUAAUAUACCUAAAUGUCAAUGAAUUCAAUUCCCCAGUAAAAAGACAUAGACUAACAGACUUUGUAAACAGGACCCAGCAUUUUGCUGCAUACAGGAAACACACCUUGGUGACAAAGACAGACACUAUCUCAGAAUGAAGGCUGGAGAACAACUUUACAAGCAAGUGGUCCCAAGAAACAAACUGGAUUAGUCAUUUCUGUGUCAAAAAAAAAUUGACUUUGAACCAAAGUUAUCAAAAAAGGUAAGGAAGGACACUUCAAAUUCAUCAAAGGAAAAAUCCACCAAGAUGAACUCUCAAUUCCGAAUAUCUAUGCUCCUAAUGCAAGGCCACCUACAUCCAUAAAAGAAACCUUACUAAAGCUCAAAGCACACAUUGCAUCUCCCAGAGUAAUAGUGGGAGACUUCAACAGCCCACUCUCGGCAAUGGGCAGAUCAUGGAAACAGAAACUAAACAGAGACACAGAGGAACAAAGAAGUUAUAAACCAAAUGGAUUUAACAUAUUUAUAGAACAUCACAUCCUAAAACAAAAGAAUAUACCUUCUCAGCACCUCAUGUUACCUUCUCCAAAAUUGACCAUAUAAUUGGUCACAAAACAGGCCUCAACAGAUACAACAAGAUUGAAAUAAUCCUAUUCAUCCUGUCAGAUCACCACGUACUAAUACUGGUCUUCAAUAACAACAAAAAUGACAGAAAGCCCAUAUAUCCAUGGAAGUUUAACAAUGCUCUAGUCAAUGAUAGCUUGGUCAAGGAAGAAAUAAAUGAAAAACUUUUUAGAAUUUAAUGAAAAUGAAGGCAAAACAUGCCAAAACUUAUGGGACCCGAUGAAAGCAGUGCUAAGAGGAAAAUUCAUGGCUCUGAGUGUCUGCAAAAAGAAACAGGAGAGAACAUACAUUAGCAGUUUGGCAGCACACCUAAAAGCUCUAGAACAAAACAAAGUAAAUAACCCAAGAUGAGUAGAAGGCAGGAAAUCAUCAAAUUCAGUGCUGAAAUCAUGUAGAAACAAAAAGGACUACAAAGAGUCAAGAAAACCAGGAACUGGUUCUUUGAGAAAUUCAAGAAGAUAGAUAAACCCUUAGACAGGCUCAUAGGUAGAGUAUCCAAAUUAAUAAAAUCAGAAAUGAAAAGGGAAACAUAAAAACAGGAUCUGAGGAAAUUAAAAAAAGUCAUCAGAUCCUACUACAAAAACUUAUAUUCAAAAAAGGAAAAUCUGGAGGAAAUGGACAAUUUUCUAGAGACAUACCAGGAACCAAAAUUAAGUCAGAAUCAGAUAAAUAAUCUAAACAGUCCCAAAAUGCCUAAAGAAAUAGAAGCAGGUAUUAAAAGUCUCCCAACCAACUAAAGUACAAGAACAGAUGUGUUCAGUGUAGAAUUCUACCAGAACUUCAUAGAAGACCUGAUAUCAAUACUGUCCAAACUAUUCCACAAAAUAGAACAGAAGGAACACUAGCCAAUUCCUUCUAUGAAGCCACAAUAACUCUUAUACCUAAACCACACAGAGACCCAAAAAAGAGAACUUCACACCAAUUUCCCUUAUGAAUACUCAAUAAAAUUCUAACAAACUGAGUCUAAGAACAUAUCAAAAUGAUAAUCAUGAUCAAGUAGGCUUCAUCCCAGGGGUGCAGGUAGGGUUCAGUAUAUGAAAGUCUAUAAACAUAAUCCAUUACAUAAACAGAUGUAAAGAAAAAAAAAUGACAGAUCAUCUCAUUAGAUCCUGAGAAAGCAUUUGACAAAAUUCAACACCCCUUCAUGUUAAAAGUCUUGGAAAAAUCAGGAAUUCAAGGCCCAUACCUAAACAUAGUAAGAGCAAUAUACAGCAAUCCAGUAGCCAACCUUAAACUAAAUGGAGAGAAACUUGAAGGAAUCCCACUAAAAUCAGGGCCUAGACAAGGCUGCACAUUCUCCCUACCUACUCAAUAUAGUACUUGAAGUCCUAGCCAGAGCAAUCGGACAGCAAAAUGUCAAAGGGAUACACAUUGGAAAGGAAGAUAUCAAAAUAUCACCAUUUGCAGAUGAUAUGAUUGUUUAAUUAAGUGACUCCAAAAGUUCCACCUCAGAACUACUAAGCCUAAUAAUCAACUUCAGCAAAGUUGGUGGAUAUAAAAUUAGCUCAAAUAAAUCAGUAGGCUUUUUUCUACUCAAAGGAUAAACAGGCUGAGAAAGAAAUUAGGGAAAUAACACCCUUCACGAUAAUCACCUUGGUGUUAUUCUGACCAACCAAGUGCAAGAUCUGUAUGACAAGGACUUCAAGUUCCUGAGUGUAGAAAUCAAAGGUCUCGGAAGAUGGAUAGAUCUCCCAUGGUCACAGAUUGGCAGUAUUGAUAUUGUAAAAAUGGCCACCUUGCCAAAAGCAAUCUUCAGAUUCAAUGCAAUCCCCAUCAGCAUUCCAACUCAGUUCUUCCCUAGAGUUUGAAAGAGCAAUUAGCAAAUUUAUUUGGAAUAACAAAAAACUCAGGAUAGUGCAAACUAUUCUCAACAAUAAAAGAACUUCUGGGGGGAAUCACUCUCCCUUACUUACCUCAAGCUGUAUUACAGAGCAAUCGUGAUAAAUACUGCAUGGUAUUGGUAUAGAGAUAGGCAGAUAGAUAAAUGGAAUAGAGUUGAAGACCCUGAAAUGGUCACUUUAUUUUUGACAAAGGAGCUAAAACCAUCCAGUGGUGAAAAGAUAGCAUUUUCAACAAAUGGUGCCGGUUCAAGUGCAAGUCAGCAUGUAGAAGAAUGUAUAAUGAUCCAUUCUUAUCGUCCUGUACAAAACUCAAGUCCAAGUGGAUCAAGGACCUCCACAUAAAACCUGAUAUGCUGAAUCUAACAGAAGUGAAAGUGGGGAAGAGCCUCAAACACAUGAACACUGGGGAAAUUUUCCUGAACAGAACACCAAUGGCUUAUGUUCUAAGAUCAAGAAUCGACAAAUGGAACUUCAUAAAAUAGAAAAACUUUUGAAAGGCAAAAGACACUCAUUAGGACAGAACAGCAAACAAAUGUACAUUUUCACAAUGGAGUACUACUCAGCUAUUAAAAGCAAUGACUUCAUGACAUUCAUAUGCAAAUGGAUAGAACUAGAAAGUAUCAUCUUGAGUGAGGUACUCUCUUCACCAAAAAAUACACAUGGUCUGCACUCACUGACAAGUGGAUAUUAGCACAAACGCUCAUUACCCCAUGAUACAAUCCACAGAUCACCUGAGGCUGAACAAAAAGGAUAAUCAAAGUGCAGAUGCUUCAGUCCUUAGAAGGGGGAGCAAAAAAUAUUCAUAGGAGAUAUGGAGACAAAGUUUGGAGCAGAGACUGAAGGAAUGGCCAUUUAGAGAGUGCCCCACCUGGGUAUUCAGCCCAUAUACAUACAGCCACCAAACCCAGACAACGCUGCUGAUGCCAAGAAGUGCAUGUUGAGAGUAUUCUGCUAUCUCUGUCUCCUGAGAGGCUCUACCACAGCAUGACAUAUACAGAGCGAAUGCUUGCAGCCAACCAAUGAACUGAGAAUGGGGUCCUCAUUGGAGGAGCUACUGAAAGGAUUGAAGGAGCUGAAGAGGUUAGCAACCCCAUAGGAACAACAGUACCAACCUACCAGAGCUUUCAGAGGCUAAAUCACCAUCCAAAGUGUACACAUGGACAGACCCAUGGCUCCAGCUGCAUAUGUAGCAGAGGAUGGCCUUGUUGGGCACCAAUGGGAAGGGAAGCCCUUGGUCCUGCCAAGUCUGGACCCCCUAGUGUAGGGGAAUGUAAGAGCAGGGAGACAAGGUUUUGGUGGAUGAUUUGGGAACACCCUUAUAGAAGAAUGGGGAAAGGGGAGGAGAUAGGGGUUUAUGCACAGGAAAUCAGGAAAGGGGAUAAAAUUUGAAAAGUAAAUAAAAAAGAUUGUCAUUAUGGGUAAUCAGUAAGAUUGACAAAAAAACUUGUAGGAACUAUUUGUGAUACAUUAACAGCAAAUACUGUGAAAGCAAGCAUCUUCGGUUUACAAAAAGAAGUAAUUGGAUUCUCCCACAUAUAAAGGGAAUUGGUGUUCCCAAAACACCUACAUUCUACAUGGAUGCAAGUACUUUGAAUGACAGGUUAUAAGUUAGGCAAAAUGAGCCAAGUAGUCCAAAGCGCAUAUACUUCAGUUCAAAAAUCAGAGCUGUAUGCAAUUCUUAUGAUAUUAGUAGGUUUUUCUGAAAGUCUUAAUAAAAUUGCUGUGUAUCCAAAUAUGUAGAAAAAUUGUUUUGCAUAUAGAAACUGCUAAAUUUAUUCCUGACAAUUCAAAAUUAUACUUGUUAUAUAUACAAUUGUAACAGGCAAUAUGAAAUAGAAACUAUCCUUUAUAUACCACCUAUAUCUGGCCUCAAGAGGUUUUUCUGUCCCACUGACACAAGGGAAUGAAGAAAUUGACCAACUAUUAAUAGGAAAAAGUUCUAUCACCUACCAACAAGCCAAGGAAAUUAUAAGAAAAUGCCCUACUUAUUUUUUACUUUUUGUAACCAAACUGUAUCAUCCAUUACAAGUCAAUAUAGGGUUACCAGAAAAAAAAAUAAAAUUUGGCAUAUGGAUGUAUUUCAUCUUGCAGAAUUUGGAAAACUGAAGUUUGUAUACCAUACCAUUGAUAUAUACUCAGGGUUUUAAUGGUCAACUGGCUUAAGUUCUAAAAAGGAUGAUUCUGUAAUUACACAUUUACUGGAAAUAAAGGCUAUUAUGCACCUAUCUGUACAAAUUAA